AUUGAACGCUGGCGGCGUGCUUAACACAUGCAAGUCGAUCGGUAACGCGGGGGCAACCCUGGCGACGAGAGGCGGACGGGUGAGGAACGCUUGGGAAUCUGCCCUUCAGCGGGGGACAACACGGGGAAACUCGUGCUAAUACCGCAUACGCUCCACGGAGGAAAGCCGGGGACCGCAAGGCCUGGCACUGAAGGAUGAGCCCAAGUCGGAUUAGCUAGUUGGCGGGGUAACGGCCCACCAAGGCGACGAUCCGUAGCUGGUCUGAGAGGACGAUCAGCCACACUGGGACUGAGACACGGCCCAGACUCCUACGGGAGGCAGCAGUGGGGAAUAUUGGACAAUGGGGGAAACCCUGAUCCAGCGAGGCCGCGUGUGUGAAGAAGGCCUUCGGGUUGUAAAGCACUUUUGUUGGGAAAGAAAUCCUGUCGAUUAAUACUCGGUGGGGAUGACGGUACCCAAAGAAUAAGCACCGGCUAACUUCGUGCCAGCCGCCGCGGUAAAAC
rnacentral:rRNA from 1 species